GCCGGGGUAGGUCCCCCGGCGGGCCGCCCACCGGGCCGGCGGGACCGGCCGGACGAGGCUGGUCGCGGGCUGGCUCCGGGCCGGCCUGCGGCG
rnacentral:tRNA from 1 species